GUCGCGGGCACAGCCGCAUCCAAAAAUAAGCGCCCGAAGUUCGUGGUGCCAAAACCCCCCAGCGGAAAAAUGGCCAAAAAACGGGUGGGCUAUAGCCUUGGUGGGGGGCGCGGGCGAAGUUCGUCUGCCGGACUCGGAAUGGGGCGAGACUUUGCGAGGGGCCUCGGGGUGCCCGCGGGAAGUCGCGGGCACAGCCGCGUCCAAAAAUAAGCGCCCGAAGGUCGUGGUGCCAAAAUCCCCCAGCGGAAAAAUGGCCAAAAAACGGGUGGGCUAUAGCCUUGGUGGGGGGCGCGGGCGAAGUUCGUCCGCCGGACUCGGAAUGGGGCGAGACUUUGCGCGGGGCCUCGGGGCGCCAAAAAUAAGCCGCGGGCAAAGCCGCGCCCAAAAAUAAGCGCCCGAAGGUCGUGUUGCCAAAACCCCCCAGCGGAAAAAUGCCAAAAAACGGGUGGGCUAUAGCCUUGGCGGGGGGCGCGGGCGAAGUUCGUCCGCCGGACUCGGAAUGGGGCGAGACUUUGCGAGGGGCCUCGGGGUGCCCGCGGGAAGUCACGGGCACAGCCGCGCCCAAAAAUAAGCGGCCGAAGGUCGUGGUGCCAAAACCCCCCAGCGGAAAAAUGGCCAAAACACGAGUGGGCUAUAGCCUUGGUGGGGGGCGCGGGCGAAGUUCGUCCGCCGGACUCGAAAUGGGGCGAGACUUUGCGAGGGGCCUCGGGGCGCCAAAAAUAAGCCGCGGGCAAAGCCGAGCCCAAAAAUAAGCGCCCGAAGGUCGUGGUGCCAAAACCCCCCAGCGGAAAAAUGGCCAAAAAACGGGUGGGCUAUAGCCUUGGUGGGGGGCGCGGGCGAAGUUCGUCCGCCGGACUCGGAAUGGGGCGAGACUUUGCGCGGGGCCUCGGGGCGCCAAAAAUAAGCCGCGGGCAAAGCCGCGCCCAAAAAUAAGCGCCCGAAGGUCGUGGUGUGAAAACCCCCCAGCGGAAAAACGGCCUAAAAACGGGUGGGCUAUAGCCUUGGUGGGGGGCGCGGGCGAAGUUCGUCCGCCGGACUCGGAAUGGGGCGAGACUUUGCGAGGGGCCUCGGCGUGCCAAAAAUAAGCUGCGGGCAAAGCCGCACCCAAAAAUAAGCGCCCGAAGGUCGUGGUGCCAAAACCCCCCAGCGGAAAAAUGGCCAAAAAACGGGUGGGCUAUAGCCUUGGUGGGGGGCGCAGGCGAAGUUCGUCCGCCGGACUCGGAAUGGGGCGAGACUUUGCGAGGGGCCUCGGGGUGCCCGCGGGAAGUCGCGGGCACAGCCGCGUCCAAUAAUAAGCGCCCAAAGUUCGUGGUGCCAAAACCCCCCAGCGGAAAAAUGGCCAAAAAACGGGUGGGCUAUAGCCUUGGUGGGGGGCGCGGGCGAAGUUCGUCCGCCGGACUCGGAAUGGGGCGAGACUUUGCGAGGGGCCUCGGGGCACCAAAAAUAAGCCGCGGGCAAAGCCGCGCCCAAAAAUAAGCGCCCGAAGGUCGUGGUGCCAAAACCCCCACGGAAAAAUACCAAAAAACGGGUGGGCUAUAGCCUUGGUGGGGGGCGCGGGCGAAGUUCGUCCGCCGGACUCGGAAUGGGGCGAGACUUUGCGAGGGGCCUCGGGGUGCCCGCGGGAAGUCGCGGGCACAGCCGCGUCCAAAAAUAAGUGCCCGAAGUUCGUGGUGCCAAAACCCACCAGCGGAAAAAUGGCCAAAAAACGGGUGGGCUAUAGCCUUGGUGGGGGGCGCGGGCGAAGUUCGUCCGCCGGACUCGGAAUGGGGCGAGACUUUGCGAGGGGCCUCGGGGUGCCCAAAAUAAGCCGCGGGCAAAGCCGCGCCCAAAAAUAAGUGCCCGAAGGUCAUGUUGCCAAAACCCCCCAGCGGAAAAAUGGCCAAAAAAUGGGUGGGCUUAGCCUGGUGGGGGGCGCGGGGAAGUUCGUCCGCCCGACUCGGAAUGGGGCGAGACUUUGCGAGGGGCCUCGGGGUGCCCGCGGAAAGUCGCGGGCACAGCCACGUCCAGAAUAAGAGCCGAAAGGUCGUGGUGCCAAACCCCCCCAGCGGAAAAAUGGCCAAAAAACGGGUGGGCUAUAGCCUUGGUGGGGGGCGCGGGCGAAGUUCGUCCGCCGGACUCGGAAUGGGGCGAGACUCUGCGAGGGGCCUCGGGGUGCCCGCGGGAAGUCGCGGGCACAGCCGCGUCCAGAAAUAAGCGCCCGAAGGUCGUGGUGCCAAAACCCCCCAGCGGAAAAAUGGCCAAAAAACGGGUGGGCUAUAGCCUUGGUGGGGGGCGCGGGCGAAGUUCGUGCGCCGGACUCGGAAUGGGGCGAGACUUUGCGAGGAGCCUCGGGGCGCCAAAAAUAAGCCGCGGGCAAAGCCGCGCCCAAAAAUAAGCGCCCGAAGGUCGUGGUGCCAAAACCCGCCAGCGGAAAAAUGGCCAAAAAACGGGUGGCCUAUAGCCUUCGUGGGGGGCGCGAGCGAAGUUCGUCCGCCGGACUCGGAAUGGGGCGAGACUUUGCGAGGGGCCUCGGCGCACCAAAAAUAAGCCGCGGGCAAAGCCGCGCCCAAAAAUAAGCGCCUGAAGGUCGUGGUGCCAAAACCCCCCAGCGGAAAAAUGGCCAAAAAACGGGUGGGCUAUAGCCUUGGUGGGGGGCGCGGGCGAAGUUCGUCCGCCGGGCUCGGAAUGGGGCGAGACUUUGCGAGGGGCCUCGGCGCACCAAAAAUAAGCGCCUGAAGGUCGUGGUGCCAAAACCCCCCAGCGGAAAAAUGGCCAAAAAACGGGUGGGCUAUAGCCUUGGUGGGGGGCGCGGGCGAAGUUCGUCCGCCGGACUCAGAAUGGGGCGUGACUUUGCGAGGGGCCUCGGGGUGCCUGCGGGAAGUCGCGGGCACAGCCGCGUCCAAAAAUAAGCACCCGAAGGUCGUGGUGCCAAAACCCCCCAGCGGAAAAAUGGCCAAAAAACGGGUGGGCUAUAGCCUUAGUGGGGGGCGCGUGCGAAGUUCGUCCGCCGGACUCGGAAUGGGGCGAGACUUUGCGAGGGGCCUCGGGGUGCCAAAAAUAAGCCGCGGGCAAAGCCGCGCCCAAAAAUAAGCGCCCGAAGGUCGUGGUGCCAAAACCCCCCAGCGGAAAAAUGGCCAAAAAACGGGUGGGCUAUAGCCUUGGUGGGGGGCGCGGGCGAAGUUCGUCCGCCGGACUCGGAAUGGGGCGAGACUUUGCGAGGGGCCUCGGAGUGCCCGCGGGAAGUCGCGGGCACAGCCGCGUCCAAAAAUAAGCGCCCGAAGGUCGUGGUGCCAAAACCCCCCCAGCGGAAAAAUGGCCAAAAAACGGGUGGGCUAUAGCCUUGGUGGGGGGCGCGGGCGAAGUUCGUCCGCCGGACUCGGAAUGGGGCGAGAUUUGCGAGGGGCCUCGGGGUGCAAAAAUAAGCCACGGGCAAGGCCGCGCCCAAAAAUAAGCGCCCGAAGGUCGUGGUGCCAAAACCCCCCAGCGGAAAAAUGGCCAAAAAACGGGUGGGCUAUAGCCUGGUGGGGGGCGCGGGCGAAGUUCGUCCGCCGGACUCGGAAUGGGGCGAGACUUUGCGCAGGGGCCUCGGGGUGCCAAAAAUAAGCCGCGGGCAAAGCCGCGCCCAAAAAUAAGCGCCCGAACGUCGUGGUGCCAAAACCCCCCAGCGGAAAAAUGGCCAAAAAACGGGUGGGCUAUAGCCUUGGUGGGGGGCGCGGGCGAAGUUCGUCCGCCGGACUCGGAAUGGGGCGAGACUUUGCGAGGGGCCUCGGGGUGCCCGCGGGAAGUCGCGGGCACAGCCGCGUCCAAAAAUAAGCGCCCGAAGGUCGUGGUGCCAAAACCCCCCCAGCGGAAAAAUGGCCAAAAAACGGGUGGGCUAUAGCCUUGGUGGGGGGCGCGGGCGAAGUUCGUCUGCCGGACUCGGAAUGGGGCGAGACUUUGCGAGGGGCCUCGGGGUGCCAAAAAUAAGCCACGGGCAAGGCCGCGCCCAAAAAUAAGCGCCCGAAGGUCGUGGUGCCAAAACCCCCCAGCGGAAAAAUGGCCAAAAAACGGGUGGGCUAUAGCCUUGGUGGGGGGCGCGGGCGAAGUUCGUCCGCCGGACUCGGAAUGGGGCGAGACUUUGCGAGGGGCCUCGGGGUGCCCGCGGGAAGUCACGGGCACAGCCGCGUCCAGAAAUAAGAGCCCGAAGGUCGUGGUGCCAAAACCCCCAGCGGAAAAAUGGCCAAAAAACGGGUGGGCUAUAGCCUUGGUAGGGGGCGCGGGCGAAGUUCGUCCGCCGGACUCGGAAUGGGGCGAGACUUUGCGAGGGGCCUCGGGGUGCCCGCGGGAAGUCGCGGGCACAGCCGCGUCCCGAAAUAAGCGCCCGAAGGUCGUGGUGCCAAAACCCCCCAGCGGAAAAAUGGCCAAAAAACC
rnacentral:lncRNA from 1 species